rnacentral:lncRNA from 1 species
AUCAGCAUGUUUUUCCUCCUCCAGGAGACAUUCCUCCGCGGAUCAGACCAUGCUCCUUCCACAUUGAAAGCCUGUGCUCACACUUUGAAUAUGUUGACUGAAAGACCUUCAUGAGCCGGACACGCUCCUUGGUGUUACACUUGCAGGAGUUGCCGAUGGAGGCCUGCAGUACUCUCGGAGUUGUUGGCAGCUUUAAAGGGCACUGAUGAGAAGAUGGAGAAGGACAGGAAAAAGACAGAUUCAACCUGUGGCAGAGAGACACCACAUAGA